CGCGUGCACUGGCUCGGCUGGGUCUUUCCUUCUGGAGAACCGCAUGCCCUUCACUGGGCGUGCCGGGGAACCAGGACUUUUACUCUGAACAAAUUAGAUCGCUUAAAGAAGGCCUAUGCUCGAAUACAUUAGCAUGGAAUAAUAGAAUAGGACGUGUGGUUCUAUUUUGUUGGUUUCUAGGACCGCCGUAAUGAUUAAUAGGGACAGUCGGGGGCAUCAGUAUUCAAUUGUCAGAGGUGAAAUUCUUGGAUUUAUUGAAGACUAGCUACUGCGAAAGCAUUUGCCAAGGAUGUUUUCAUUAAUCAGGAACGAAAGUUAGGGGAUCGAAGACGAUCAGAUACCGUCGUAGUCUUAACCAUAAACUAUGCCGAUUAGGGAUCGGACGGCGUUAUUUUUUGACCCGUUCGGCACCUUACGAUAAAUCAAAAUGUUUGGGCUCCUGGGGGAGUAUGGUCGCAAGGCUGAAACUUAAAGAAAUUGACGGAAGGACACCACCAGGGGUGGAGCCUGCGGCUUAAUUUGACUCAACACGGGGAAACUCACCAGGUCCAGACACGAUGAGGAUUGACAGAUUGAGAGCUCUUUCUUGAUUUCGUGGGUGGUGGUGCAUGGCCGUUCUUAGUUGGUGGAGUGAUUUGUCUGCUUAAUUGCGAUAACGAACGAGACCUUAACCUGCUAAAUAGCCCGUAUUGCUUUGGCAGUACGCCGGCUUCUUAGAGGGACUAUCGG
rnacentral:rRNA from 1 species